GCGGGUGGGCGCUCGGUCGAGCUAGGACGGGGCUGGGGGGGCCGGCAGCCGGGUAGGGGGGAAAGGGGAGAAGAGGAGGCAAAGGCUCUGCCCUGGCCCUGUGCUCAGCCCGCCCAGGAGGAGCCGCCCGGGGCGGCCCCGAGGCUCCCGGUUCAGCUGGGAGGCUGCAUAUGGCCCCUGGCCCCUCCGUGUGCGGAGAAAAGGACCGGAGCAGGCGGCAGUGUAGGGGAGCAGCCGAGCGGCAGAAGGGCUGCUCGGCUCAAAAUGAGCAGCGCCGGGGAACGCUGAUACAGGAGGACGAGCCCAGGCGAGGAGCGCGGCCCUGACAUGGCAGCGCUGGGGGACACCGACACGGGAGGAGAUGUCUGAGGAGACACUGGUGCUGCCUUGCCUGCACCUGCCCACUGCAGGAGAUCUGGUGGGGACGCCUCUCAGUUCUGACCUUAGAAUUGGGAGAGACCCUCUGUGCAGAGAGAGGCACUUGGCAUGGAUUUAUUCCCUGAGGGAAGAGGCUGGGCUCCCUGCUGUUUGGAGCAACUUGCUGGUGACAGCCAUGUACCUGUACACCUGCCUCAGAGAACAUGUCCUGUGGACGGACACCCCAGCUUGCUACAGCUCAGGUAAUUUCAGCUCCAGGCACAGGAUGUUCCUGAUAACAGUCACUCCUUCCUGUUACAGCUGCAGGUCAGCUCGACUCUCCUCGUGGAGGCUACAGAGAGCAGAUGUCCUGCUCAACCAUGCUGUCUGCACAGCCCUGCUGAUGGAUGUCACAGCUCCAGCUAAUGGACACUCCAGCUCUGGGGCACAUCCAGCCAUUGGCCCUCUGGAUAAGAGAUGUUCCUGCUGAUGGGCUCACCAGCGUGUUACUGCUCGGGGUAUUUGAAGCCCUGGCUCCAGCUACACGAUGCUCUGCUGAUGGACACUCCAGUUCGUUUCAAUUCUGGCUACGAGAUGCUCCUGCUACAUGCAGCUGUGGCUGAGGAAGUGAAGCUGCUUCUUGUUACCAGCUUUGGCUUAAUAAAUGCUCCUUCUUGUUACCAGCC
rnacentral:lncRNA from 1 species